GUGGGGAAUAUUGGACAAUGGGGGGAACCCUGAUCCAGCCAUGCCGCGUGUGUGAAGAAGGCCUUUUGGUUGUAAAGCACUUUAAGCGAGGAGGAGGCUACCGAGAUUAAUACUCUUGGAUAGUGGACGUUACUCGCAGAAUAAGCACAGGCUAACUCUGUGCCAGCAGCCGCGGUAAUACAGAGGGUGCAAGCGUUAAUCGGAUUUACUGGGCGUAAAGCGCGCGUAGGUGGCCAAUUAAGUCAAAUGUGAAAUCCUCGAGCUUAACUUGGGAAUUGCAUUCGAUACUGGUUGGCUAGAGUAUGAGAGAGGAUGGUAGAAUUCCAGGUGUAGCGUUGAAAUGCGUAGAGAUCUGGAGGAAUACCGAUGGCGAAGGCAGCCAUCUGGCCUAAUACUGACACUGAGGUGCGAAAGCAUGGGGAGCAAACAGGAUUAGAUACCCCAGUAGUCC
rnacentral:rRNA from 1 species